CUGAAAAGAAAAUUCGCCCAAUUCGAAUCUGCUGAUUGAAUCACAGAACACUUGACAAAUCGCGGGAUGAUCUCUUUAAAAAUCAACUCACCCAGUAAAAGCUGCUCCUUAUUGCAUCAUAGAACACUUGUGAUGUUAUCAUUCUAUCGCCAAGGAGGCUGUCUGAAAAGGAAAUUCGCCCAAUUCGAAUCUGCUGAUUGAAUUACAGAACACUUGACAAAUCGCGGGAUGAUCUCUUUAAAAAUCAACUCACCCAGUAAAAGCUGCUCCUUAUUGCAUCAUAGAACACUUGUGAUGUUAUCAUUCUAUCGCCAAGGAGGGUGUCUGAAAAGGAAAUUCGCCCAAUUCGAAUCUGCUGAUUGAAUCACAGAACACUUGACAAAUCGCGGGAUGAUCUCUUUAAAAAUCAACUCACCCAGUAAAAGCUGCUCCUUAUUGCAUCAUAGAACACUUGUGAUGUUAUCAUUCUAUCGCCAAGGAGGGUGUCUGAAAAGGAAAUUCGCCCAAUUCGAAUCUGCUGAUUGAAUCACAGAACACUUGACAAAUCGCGGGAUGAUCUCUUUAAAAAUCAACUCACCCAGUAAAAGCUGCUCCUUAUUGCAUCAUAGAACACUUGUGAUGUUAUCAUUCUAUCGCCAAGAACACUUGACAAAUCGCGGGAUGAUCUCUUUAAAAAUCAACUCACCCAGUAAAAGCUGCUCCUUAUUGCAUCAUAGAACACUUGUGAUGUUAUCAUUCUAUCGCCAAGGAGGGUGUCUGAAAAGGAAAUUCGCCCAGUUCGAAUCUGCUGAUUGAAUCACAGAACACUUGACAAAUCGCGGGAUGAUCUCUUUAAAAAUCAACUCACCCAGUAAAAGCUGCUCCUUAUUGCAUCAUAGAACACUUGUGAUGUUAUCAUUCUAUCGCCAAGGUAACUAACAUGGGCAGAGGGUGGUAAGAGCAAGUAAGGGACUUAGAGAGAUCAUUCCUGCAAAGGAAACAAGGAGGCAGGUUGUGGGUGGUGUUUGGGACAGUGGUAUUUUGACAUAGUAUGUAAUGUUAUGUUAUACAAAUAUUGGCUGCGGAUUAUUGUCUUAUGCUGUGAUU